AACUUUUAACAAUGGAUCUCUUGGUUCUCGCAUCGAUGAAGAACGUAGCAAAGUGCGAUAACUAGUGUGAAUUGCAUAUUCAGUGAAUCAUCGAGUCUUUGAACGCAACUUGCACUCAUUGGUAUUCCAAUGAGUACGCCUGUUUCAGUAUCAAAAAC
rnacentral:rRNA from 1 species